rnacentral:rRNA from 1 species
GCACAAGCGGUGGAGCAUGUGGUUUAAUUUGAAGCAACGGAAGAACCUUACCAGGUCUUGACAUCUUCUGACAACCCUAGAGAUAGGGCUUUCCCUUCGGGGACAGAGUGACAGGUGGUGCAUGGUUGUCGUCAGCUCGUGUCGUGAGAUGUUGGGUUAAGUCCCGCAACGAGCGCAACCCUUGAUCUUAGUUGCCAGCAUUCAGUUGGGCACUCUAAGGUGACUGCCGGUGACAAACCGGAGGAAGGUGGGGAUGACGUCAAAUCAUCAUGCCCCUUAUGACCUGGGCUACACACGUGCUACAAUGGACAGAACAAAGGGCUGCAAGACCGCAAGGUUUAGCCAAUCCCAUAAAUCUGUUCUCAGUUCGGAUCGCAGUCUGCAACUCGACUGCGUGAAGCUGGAAUCGCUAGUAAUCGCGGAUCAGCAUGCCGCGGUGAAUACGUUCCCGGGCCUUGUACACACCGCCCGUCACACCACGAGAGUUUGCAACACCCGAAGUCGGUGAGGUAACCUUUAUGGAGCCAGCCGCCGAAGGUGGGGCAGAUGAUGGGGGG